rnacentral:ncRNA from 1 species
GAAUAUAUUAAUAUAAUAGAUUACCCUUUGAACUUAAGCAUAUCAUUAAAAGGAGGAGAAGAAACUAACUAGGAUUUCUUUAGUAGCAGCGAGUGAACAAGAAACAACCCUUGAUUGUAAUCCUUUAUGGAGCUGUAAAUCAUAUAUUUUAUUUCUUAUUUCGUAGAGGAUGUAUAUUCGUUAUAAAUGAGAUAUAUAAAAGUAAUUGAGUAGGGCUGCUUGGUAGUGCAGUUUGAAUAUAGGUAGAAUGAUAUAUCCAAGGUUAAAUAUAAUGGUACACCGAUAGCAAAUAAGUACUGCGAAGGAACUUGUGAAAAUGUGUGGGUUAUAGCCUUAUUUUUAAGGACCCGUCUUGAAACACGGACCAAGGAGAUUAUAAUUAUAGCGAGAUAACAAUGUAGUCGUUAUUAGCUUGAUAAGUUAUAAUUAUAAGACCCGAAACACAGUGAACUAUACAUGUUCUGGUUGAAGAUAAGCAACAGUUUAUUGGAAGACCAUAAUCAUUCUGACGUGCAAAUCGAUGAUUUAAGAUGUGUAUAGUGGCGAAAGACCAAUCGAACUGUGUGGUAGCUGGUUCACAGCGAAAUGUCUCUCAGGACAGCAGUCAUUUUUUAGGACAUAGA